CUUCCGGUACGCCCAUGUACAUGAAACUGUUUUUUACAGUUUCAAUAUUAGUUUGUAAAUCUCUGAAUGGUAAAACUUGCCAAUACUUCAAUAAUACGUUUCAAAAAAAAGACAAAAAAGCUUUAGUUUUGCAGAGUUAAAUUCUCAAACGUGUAAGGCAAUAAUAAGAUCACGAAAUUAUUUGAAUAAACCACAUCGCAUAUAUGGGGGGGCGAAUGUCCUAAAGAGGGGCGAUAUUCUUAGGGUAUUCGCCCCACCCCCUUGGGAGGCGAUAUUCCUAGGAUAUUCGCCCCCCGGGGGCGAUAUUCCUAGGAAUAUCGCCACGUUUUGAGGGGGGGAAUUUCCUGGGGGGGCGACCUUUUUAAAAAUUCUAUCUUGCCCCCCCAACAUUUGAGUUUGCCCCUCAAAUGCCCCCCCAAAUUUGGAAGCCUGGCGCCGCCACUGUAAAUAUCCCUUAAAGCCCGGGACAAACUGGGUAAUAUUGUUGCGCAAAGAUAUUUGUCAUAUUUAUAUUUGUCAUACUAAUGUACGGUGGCCCAGACGCGACAGCACAAAAACAGUUUUUGUAUUUUUUGAUUUUUUGAUUUUUGAUUUUUUGAUUUUUUGAUUUUUUGAUUUUUUGAUUUUUUGAUUUUUUGAUUUUUUUAUAUAUAUUUGGAUUUUUUAAUGUUUAAAGACCUUGUCAAUGUAAUAUACACAAACAAGGAAACAAUACUAUUUCAAAAGAGCUCUUGUUGUUAUAUUCGUCUUGUAUGCAAUCACAUUUCCCCCAGUCUCUACCUGUCAUCAGAUAUCUAUAUAAAACGUCUCUUAUUACUUAA